GUCUUAAUGAAAUUAAUUUUAAGUCGAUCUGCCCAAUGAUUAAAUUAUUUAAUGGCUGCAGUAUAAUUGACUGUACAAAGGUAGCAUAAUCAAUUGUUUUUUAAUUAGAAACUAGAAUGAAAGAAUUAAUGAGAUAUAUACUGUCUCAUAUAUAUAUUGUUAAUUUAAAUUUUUAGUAAAAAUGCUAAAAUAAAUUUAUGGGACGAUAAGACCCUAUAGAAUUUUAUAUUUAUAUUUAGAUUAUUAUUUAUUUUAAAUAUUAAUAUUUAAUUGGGAGGAUUAUUAAAUUUGUAAAACUUUAUUUUAAAUUUAGACUUUAAUUUAAGAAUUAUUAAUGAUCUUGUAUUAUAAAUUUAAAGAAUAAAUUACCUUAGGGAUAACAGCGUAAUAUCUUUUUAAAGAUCAAAUUGAUAAAGAUGAUUGCGACCUCGAUGUUGAAUUAAGAUAAAUUUUAAAUGAAGGAGUUUAAUAAUUAAGUCUGUUCGACUUUUAAAAUCUUACAUGAUUUGAGUUCAAAUCGACGUGAGU
rnacentral:rRNA from 1 species